UACGUAGGGAGCGAGCGUUGUCCGGAUUCAUUGGGCGUAAAGCGCGUGUAGGCGGCUAAGUAAGUCGGGCGUGAAAUCCCACGGCUCAACCGUGGAAGUGCACUCGAAACUGCGUAGCUAGAGUCCUGGAGAGGAAGGUGGAAUGCUUGGUGUAGAGGUGAAAUUCGUAGAUAUCAAGCGGAACACCGGUGGCGAAGGCGGCCUUCUGGACAGUGACUGACGCUGAGACGCGAAAGCGUGGGGAGCAAACAGG
rnacentral:rRNA from 1 species